CCAGGUCUUCACUUCUUGCAUGUUCUUGACUUGUUAGAGGAAAUCGUGUAUCGACAUUGGUAUUGAUUUGCAUAAUUCAGAUAUAAUUAGGAGAAAGAUUUGCCGCGUGGCAGGCAGCGGGGCCGGUGCUGCCGGAUCCUGCUGACCUUGGGGAAAUCUCAGAGCUGGGCCUUUCACCCUCACCAGGGGCAAGCCUCCCAUUCUCUGCAAAGCCCCGAAAUUCCCUCUUCUGUGAGGCGUCAGGGCAGCAGGAGGGCCCUUGUGCCCCCAAACUCUUUCCCUGCCCGGCCCCGGGAUCUGGAAUUCUGACCCCAGGGCCGUCCCACGGGGACAUGCGGGGAGUGACCAGGAGGACAGGCGCCCGUGUGGAGGGAGGGAGAGGCCCUCGGGGUGGGGCCGUCCUGACGGUGGGAGGACACGGAAGCAGAUCCCAGCAGUGCUGGAAGCAAGAGACUAGAAAUUAAUGUGACCCAGUGAAUGAUGUCGCGGCCGUGAUGAUAAGUGGCAGCGCGUCCUUGCAAAGAUUAGCAAGAUAACGAGGCAGAGAAGCAAGCAAAAGUGCCCGGCCGUGCCCGUUCCGACCUGUCAUCAUUCCUUCGCGCCUUCGUUCAUCCCUCCGUCCGUUCACAGGUGUUUAUCGCGGGGCCAUUACGUGCCAGGCAGAUAGUCAAGAACCAGGUGUCGCUACUGGGAAACUUGGCUCCUACCCACCCCACCCAGGAGGAGGGAUCGGGCUCUGGGACUCGGGGCCUGGGGGAGCUAGCGCCCGGGGGACCCUAGGAUACCUCCCUUGAAUUGUGCCUCCAUUUCCCCGUGAGCUGGUUGUGUUCCGGGAAGGCGGGCGGGAAGGCAGGCGACAGCAGGGAGGCGGGGUGAGGGAGGACGGGGAGGCUGCACCAGAAGCAGGGAGUCCCUCCCCACACCCGACCUCCUGUCCCCGUGUGACCCCUCCUCCUCCCACACAGGCCUGCACGGGCGUCACCAGGAGCCACAGCCAAUUUCCCGAGGGAGCGAUCUCCAGGCCACUGAUUUACUCGUCAGCUGUCGCCUGUCGCCUCGGGCCCUGCGUAGUGCUGCUCGUGGGGCUUCCCCGCCCUCUGGCCGUGACGCACUGACGGACACCGACGGUCCCUGUGGAAAUGGCGACAUGGCCCUCGGCCCGCGGGGGCUGCUACGCCCCAGAACCGAGGAAGAGCAGAAGGGAUUCCCACGGGGGAGUCAGGACUUUUCAGCUUCCGUUUGGCCACGUUUCGACCUCACGGGCCACUUGGGGACCCGCCGCCGUUCCCGCUGCCCCCCCUUCUCGGGCCCAGGCUGGUGAUGCAGUGAGGACCUUGCGGCCUGAUUCCUCUCGCCAAGGUUAACUGGCGUCUUCAUUGGCGUGAGAGCUCCUGCUGUGCUCGGAGGAGCGCACGGCCUCAGAGCGGGGCUGGCCUGCGCCCUCCUUUGAUCUCGGCUCAGCUGACCCUCCCAGCUGCGUGUGCUUCCCUGUUCCCACCAACUUCGCUUUCUACUUUAUUUUCUGCUUACAUAUUUCUAGUUUCUUUUACU
rnacentral:lncRNA from 1 species